AGGGGAAUAGCUAAGCGGGUCAAGGCACCGGAGCUCCCGGAUAACGAAGGUUCGAAUCCUUCUUCCCCUG
rnacentral:tRNA from 2 species